rnacentral:rRNA from 1 species
CCUACGGGAGGCAGCAGUGAGGAAUAUUGGUCAAUGGGCGAGAGCCUGAACCAGCCAAGUCGCGUGAAGGAUGACGGCCCUACGGGUUGUAAACUUCUUUUGUCAGGGAGCAAUUUGGUCCACGCGUGGGCUUAGCGAGAGUACCUGAAGAAAAAGCAUCGGCUAACUCCGUGCCAGCAGCCGCGGUAAUACGGAGGAUGCGAGCGUUAUCCGGAUUUAUGGGGUUUAAGGGGUGCGUGGGGGGAAUAUCAAGUCGGCGGUAAAAAUUCGGGGCUCAACCCCGUCGUGCCGUUGAAACUGAUGUUCUUGAGUGGGCGAGAAGUAUGCGGAAUGUGUGGUGUAGCGGUGAAAUGCAUAGAUAUCACGCAGAACUCCGAUUGCGAAGGCAGCAUACCGGCGCCCAACUGACGCUGAAGCACGAAAGCGUGGGUAUCGAACAGGAUUAGAUACCCUGGUAGUC